UNNGNCANCGUACCAUGCAGUCGAACGAUGAUCUCCCGCUUGCGGGGGUGAUUAGUGGCGAACGGGUGAGUAAUACGUGAGUAACCUGCCCUUGACUCUGGGAUAAGCCUGGGAAACCGGGUCUAAUACUGGAUACAACCCUCCAUCGCAUGGUGGGGGGUGGAAAGGGUUUGACUGGUUUUGGAUGGGCUCACGGCCUAUCAGCUUGUUGGUGGGGUAAUGGCUCACCAAGGCGACGACGGGUAGCCGGCCUGAGAGGGUGACCGGCCACACUGGGACUGAAACACGGCCCAAACUCCUACGGGAGGCAGCAGUGGGGAAUAUUGCACAAUGGGCGGAAGCCUGAUGCAGCGACGCCGCGUGAGGGAUGACGGCCUUCGGGUUGUAAACCUCUUUCAGCAGGGAAGAAGCCACAAUUGACGGUUCCUGCAGAAGAAGCGCCGGCUAACUACGUGCCAGCACCCGCGGUAUACGUAGGGCGCAAGCGUUGUCCCGAAUG
rnacentral:rRNA from 1 species